rnacentral:miRNA from 1 species
UGUUUUUCGACGUUUUGGACC